GGUCAGCUGACACAUCCCUGCCAAUCUCCGGCAGACCCUCCCUCCCAGGCCCUCCUACUUCCUGGACAGCAUCCAUGUUGAAGGCAGCUUCAACAUGGAUGCUGUCCAGGAGGUGGGAGGGUCUGGGAGGGAGGGUCUGCUGGAGAUUGGCAGGGAUGUGUCAGCUG